AUGGGGUGAGAGCCUUGUGAUCUUUUGCCUUCUUACUGUGAGUACACUUUUUUUCCCCUAGUGGCCAGCAGGGUGCGUGGAAAACUGCCUUCCUGUGCAAUUUCACAUACAACUUGAGAUGAUUCCAUCCUGAGCUCAAACUGAUGUCUCAGCUGGUCUGAGUUAACCGCCGAAGCACAUGGAAAACCACUGUCACGGGACUGGUAAUACGCUCGGAUUCAAGCGAAGCAAAUAGGCCACGGGUGAUCCAGGCUCAUCAUGGAAAUUCUGUAAUGAUACAUACGUUAACUGUGAUUCCCACGAUGCUCAUAAAUGUUUCCAGUUUAAAAGCCCUAACCAGACACUUCACUCUGAGAAUUCUUGAGCAACAUCAUUUGUGGCACAGACCGAAAUGGUUGGAGAAUUGACGUCUAAACCCAACAAUAUGACAUCUUGAUGAGAUUGUGAAAAAGUAUGACAUGAAAUCUUGGUUGGUUCUUAGAGUCUGAUGAACUUUCUAGAGUUCUAAAAAGCAUCUCUGAAAUAGUUUCCAAGGUGGAACUGAAGGACUUCCGAAGAGAAGAAAUCAUGAAGGAGAAAGGUGCGCAGGAUUGCCGAGGUUACCACAAAGCGUAAAUUAAGCAAAACCUCCAAGCUCAGAAAGUUUGUUUGUUGAACCCUUACUGACCUGAGACUUUCUGCGUUUGACGGACUGAGUGCUGGAAAUAAAGGUGUGUGCCAUGAUACCCAGCUAAAUCAAUCUAUACACACUUUUAAUUUGAUAUGCAUUUGAAAUUGCAGAUCACUUGUGGGGAACUAACAUAGAUACAAUGUUCAGUCUGUAAAGGAAACUUGAUUCAGAGUUUCUUCCGUGUCCUUUCAAUGGCCAGGAAUAUAGUCCCAGCACUGCAAAAACAAAAUAAA
rnacentral:sRNA from 1 species